UAAUACGGAGGGGGCAAGCGUUGUUCGGAAUUACUGGGCGUAAAGGGCGCGCAGGCUGUUUCGUUAGUCAGGCGUGAAAUCCCCGGGCUCAACCCGGGAACUGCGUUUGAUACUGCGAAACUAGAGAUCGGGAGAGGGUAGUGGAAUUCCCAGUGUAGAGGUGAAAUUCGUAGAUAUUGGGAAGAACACCAGUGGCGAAGGCGGCUACCUGGACCGAUACUGACGCUGAGGCGCGAAAGCGUGGGGAGCAAACAGGAUUAGAUACCCUGGUAGUCCACGCCGUAAACGAUGUGUGCUAGACGUCGGGGGUUACGCCUUCAGUGUCGCAGCUAACGCAUUAAGCACACCGCCUGGGGAGUACGGCCGCAAGGUUA
rnacentral:rRNA from 1 species